GACGAACGCUGGCGGCGUGCCUAAUACAUGCAAGUAGAACGCACAGUUUAUACCGUAGCUUGCUACACCAUAGACUGUGAGUUGCGAACGGGUGAGUAACGCGUAGGUAACCUGCCUGGUAGCGGGGGAUAACUAUUGGAAACGAUAGCUAAUACCGCAUAAUAUUGAUUAUUGCAUGAUAAUUAAUUGAAAGGUGCAAUUGCACCACUACCAGAUGGACCUGCGUUGUAUUAGCUAGUAGGUGAGGUAACGGCUCACCUAGGCGACGAUACAUAGCCGACCGGAGAGGGUGAUCGGCCACACUGGGACUGAGACACGGCCCAGACUCCCACGGGAGGCAGCAGUAGGGAAUCUUCGGCAAUGGACGAAAGUCUGACCGAGCAACGCCGCGUGAGUGAAGAAGGUUGUCGGAUCGUAAAGCUCUGUUGUAAGAGAAGAACGGGUGUGAGAGUGGAAAGUUCACACUGUGACGGUAUCUUACCAGAAAGGGACGGCUAACUACGUG
rnacentral:rRNA from 1 species